ACUGCUCAGUAACACGUGGAUAACCUGCCCAAGGGUCCGGGAUAACCCCGGGAAACUGGGGAUAAUACCGGAUGGAUCACUAGUGCUGGAAUGCUUGGUGGUCGAAAGGUAACGCCUUUGGAUGGGUCUGCGGCGGAUUAGGUUGACGCCGGUGUAACGUACCGGCGUGCCUGUAAUCCGUACGGGUUGUGGGAGCAAGAGCCCGGAGAUGGAUUCUGAGACACGAAUCCAGGCCCUACGGGGCGCAGCAGGCGCGAAAACUCUACAAUGCAGGCAACUGCGAUAGGGGGACAUCGAGUGGCAUCCACCUUGGGUGCCUGUCCAACCGUCUAAAAAACGGUUGUUAGCAAGGGCCGGGUAAGACCGGUGCCAGCCGCCGCGGUAAUACCGGCGGCUCGAGUGGUGGCCGAUAUUAUUGAGUCUAAAGGGUCCGUAGCCGGCUUUGCAAGUCCCCUGGGAAAUCCAGCGGCUUAACCGUUGGGCUUUCAUGGGAUACUACAUUGCUUGGGACUGGGAGAGGUAGGAGGUACUCGGGGGGUAGGGGUGAAAUCCUGUAAUCCUCCGGGGACCACCGGUGGCGAAGGCGUCCUACCAGAACAGGUCCGACGGUGAGGGACGAAAGCUAGGGGCACGAACCGGAUUAGAUACCCGGGUAGUCCUAGCCGUAAACGAUGCCCGCUAGGUGUCACGACGGUCGUGAAUCGUCGUGGUGCCGUAGGGAAGCCGCGAAGCGGGCCACUUGGGAAGUACGGCCGCAAGGCUGAAACUUAAAGGAAUUGGCGGGGGAGCAC
rnacentral:rRNA from 1 species